CAAGUCAGAUCACUUGGCUCUCUGCCUCCAGCCCCCUUUUUUUCAGGAGAAUGGGUGAUUCUGUCUCACAGGUGUUCUAGGUGCUGGCUAAAAUGGCUGCCCAGUUUUGUGCUGGAAACCUACAGUGCUGGUGUUGUGGAAACUGGUGGGAAUAUCCUGGUCUGUGGGCUUUAAAGACCAUGGGAAAAGUGCAGUAUCUGAGCCGAAGUGCUGGAGCGUCUGGAAAAGUCCCUGAUGGCCUACCUUGGGUCAAAGAGGUGGUUCUCCAGCCCCUUGCACUUCCCAGGAGAUACUGCUCUUGAUGAAUCAAAAGUGGUUUCCUGGCAUGUGUCUUGCUGAGACAGAAGGAAAAACAACACUUAAUCACCGGCAUAUAUCCC
rnacentral:lncRNA from 1 species